rnacentral:rRNA from 1 species
UAAUACGUAGGCAGCAAGCGUUGUUCGGAGUUACUGGGCGUAAAGGGUGUGUAGGCGGUUGUUUAAGUUUGGUGUGAAAUCUCCCGGCUUAACCGGGAGGGUGCGCCGAAUACUGAAUGACUUGGAGUGCGGGAGAGGAAAGUGGAAUUCCUGGUGUAGCGGUGAAAUGCGUAGAUAUCAGGAGGAACACCGGUGGUGUAGACGGCUUUCUGGACCGUAACUGACGCUGAGACACGAAAGCGUGGGUAGCAAACAGGAUUAGAUACCCUGGUAGUCCACGCCCUAAACGAUGCAUAUUUGGUGUGGGCAGUUCAUUCUGUCCGUGCCGGAGCUAACGCGUUAAAUAUGCCGCCUGGGGAGUACAGUCGCAAGGCU